CGGAAGUAAACAAUUCUGGUUUCACUAUUAGAAAUCCUAAUCUCGAUCACUUGCUUGUUUGAGAAAAUACAUAUAUAUCCUAUACGCAAAUGGCAGCGUGCUUGCCAAGCACAUUGCUGGCAACAGGGCUCGCGCUGCCCAUUGCAUUUUGCGAUUUUUCAAGGGGAAAAUGCGAUAGAAAUUCCGGAAAUGCGACACGGACAUUUCGUAUUUUAGAUAUCUCGGCGCCAUCUUGAAUGUCAGCUGUUGGCAUCCAAACAGCCUCGGGGCUGUUUUACCUGUGCAGAAUGAAUGUGGAUACCCUGUAGCAUGGAAACAAUAAGACUUAGGGGCGUCUUGUUUAUUUAGCAGUUUACACAAGACAAAGGGUUGAUCCUCUAUGUGCAGACUUCCUGAAGCCCCUUCUCCACAAGAGAUUCACUAAAGGACCACCUUGUCAUUCUGGAUUUCAAGAUGAAAACAGGAUUCUUAAGAGAAUUCUUUGAGUAAUGUGAUGUGAAACUAUGAUGAUGUGUUAUGUUUACAGAAAUUAAUCUUCAGUAACGUUGUCAUCAGUGACUUUUUCUGAGUAUUAUAUGUCAUUUACACUAAUAACAUAAUUAAUAAACAUAUAGACACUCA